CUACGGGGCGCAGCAGUGAGGAAUAUUGCGCAAUGGGGGAAACCCUGACGCAGCGACGCCGCGUGGAUGAUGAAGGCCUUCGGGUCGUAAAAUCCUGUCAGAUGGAGAGAAGUGUAGAGUAGCUAAUAUCUGCUCUAUUUGACGGUACCAUCAAAGGAAGCACCGGCUAACUCCGUGCCAGCAGCCGCGGUAAUACGGAGGGUGCAAGCGUUGUUCGGAAUUACUGGGCGUAAAGCGCGCGUAGGCGGUUUUAUAAGUCAGAUGUGAAAGUCCCCGGCUCAACCGGGGAAGUGCAUUUGAAACUGUAAUACUUGAGUACUGGAGGGGGUGGUGGAAUUCCCGGUGUAGAGGUGAAAUUCGUAGAUAUCGGGAGGAAUACCGGUGGCGAAGGCGACCACCUGGCCAGAUACUGACGCUGAGGUGCGAAAGCGUGGGGAGCAAACAGGAUUAGAUACCCUCGUAGUC
rnacentral:rRNA from 1 species